rnacentral:rRNA from 1 species
ACAGUCUUCGGACUGUUGCGGAGCGGCGAACGGGUGAGUAACACGUGAAUAACCUGCCCAUAUGUUCCGGAUAAUUGGUCGAAAGACCCUUGUAAUACGGGGGAGGAUCAGUCUUUGGCAUCUUAGACUGAGGGAAGUCGCAAGACGCAUAUGGAGGGGUUCGCGGAUUAUCAGGUAGUUGGUGGGGUAAAGGCUCACCAAGCUCACGACGAUUAGCUGGUCUGAGAGGAUGGUCAGCCACAUUGGAACUGAGACACUGUCUAGACUUUACGGGAGGCUGCAGUCGAGAAUCUUGGUCUAAUGCACGAAAGUGUGAACCAGCGACGCCGCGUGAAGGAUGAAGG